UACGAAGGGUGCUAGCGUUACUCGGAAUCACUGGGCGUAAAGGGCGCGUAGGCGGCUUUCUAAGUUGGAAGUGAAAUCCCAUGGCUUAACCAUGGAAUAGCUUUCAAGACUGGAAAACUAGAGUAUGGUAGAGGGUAGUGGAAUUCCUGGUGUAGAGGUGAAAUUCGUAGAUAUCAGGAGGAACACCGGUGGCGAAGGCGGCUACCUGGGCCAUUACUGACGCUGAGGCGCGAAAGCAUGGGGAGCAAAC
rnacentral:rRNA from 1 species